rnacentral:lncRNA from 1 species
AAUUAAAUUUUAGUCACCCGAACAACCACGCAAUGUACACUCAACGCGGAUGAGUGUCUACAUUUACCGAACAAUCAACUACCCUGCAACCUAAACCUGCUCGAUAGAUUUCAACCCUAAUUUAAAUACCAAACCCACUAUCCCAAAAGAAGCCAAAAAAGAAGACAGAGGGACGUAGGGAAAGAUUGUACGAAAGAUAAUACGAAA